rnacentral:misc_RNA from 1 species
UGCCUAAUCAAAGAUUAAUUAAUAAAAGUCAAUUGUCUCGAAUCUCGUCAAAAUUAUCGACUGAAUACGUAAACUUUCUACAAACAAUAAUCCCUUGAGACUGCAGCAUACAACACAAAGGGUGGACAUAUUUUUCAUUACACAAGUAGUUGCAAAAUACAGUUCCUGAAGAAAUGAAGCCUGUAAAACAAGGGCCUUGGAUUAGAAGAAAAAAAAACAACCCCUCCUUGAAGUAGAAAGGUUGUCAUGGCAGACUCUAUAACCUGCUGCCAUGGCCAAAGCCCACGACCACAAGGCACUAUCUCUCGAACUGCCAACAGCACCCAGAACUUUUUGACUCUGUGUAUCCACCCUUUGGAGAAAACAGACCAAUCCAUUACGUUCCAAACAUGACUACAAAAACAUGGAAGACACAAUGGACAGAAGGCCAGAGCUAAAACACCAAGUUGUCAAACCCUGAAACAGGAAACGAUGAAAACCUAAAUAUAAGAACCCAGUUCAUUCUUAGGGAAUUAUGGCCAUGACGAAAGAACCCCGACAUUUUUGGAGCUAAAAUGCUUCUAACAGGUUUCUGAUGAACAGAAGCCUGCAAA